GACGAACGCUGGCGGCGUGCUUAACACAUGCAAGUCGAACGGAAAGGCCCGGCUCUUGUGGGGUGCUCGUGUGCCGAACGCGUGAGUAACACGCGAGUAACCUGUCCUUGUCUUUGGGAUAACUCUUGGAAACUGCGGCUAAUAUCGGAUAGGAGCUCCUGCUCCAUGGGGGGGGAUGGAAAGUGUCGGCGGUGGGGGAUGGACUCGCGGCUUAUCAGCUUGUUUGUGAGGUAGUGGCUUACCAAGGCUUUGAAGGGUAGCCGGCCUGAGAGGGUUGACGGCCACAUUGGGACUGAGGUACGGCCCAGACUCCUACGGGAGGCAGCAGUGGGGAAUAUUGCACAAUGGGCGGAAGCCUGAUGCAGCAACGCCGCGUGCGGGAUGACGGCCUUCGGGUUAUAAACCGCUUUCGCCUGUGACGAAGCGUGAGUGACGGUAAUGGGUAAAGAAGCACCGGCUAACUACGUG
rnacentral:rRNA from 1 species